AUUAACAAAUGCGAAAUUGAACGGGCAGAACCCUAAUUCCCUGUUCCUCUUCUCAAAACAGUCCAAAACGUUCUACCUCACCCGAUUUCGCCCCAAAAAUUCACCUCAUGCCCUCUUUUCCUCUCUAUUAUUGCCACAUGGGUGUAACGACCUCUGACAACAACAAGAUUCCCUCCUCACUCGCCCGUUUUCAAGCUAUCUCACGCGGAUUAGAAGGCUCUAGAAGAAGGGUGUUGGAUUAGUGAGAAGCGUCGGAUCGAUUUGAUUCAAUCCGAGCCUCACGUUCAUCAAAUGCUCGUUUUCAAGAGAGCCUCAUUCGUAUUUCGUGAAGAGGGGGAAAGGAUCGAGAGUUUUGAUAUAAGGGACCAUUUCGAGUAAGUAGUGGGGGAUUGUUUUUGGAGUCGAAAAGAUUGAAAAAAUAAGCUUGAGAGUUCAUUCAGUUUUCAUGGAGUUAUUUUGGAUUUUAAUUUUGAUUCUGGAAGAAAAGGCUAAGAUAUUCCAGUUUCUUUUGGUUUUGAUUCCUGGUUCUGUUUCAGAAAAUCUAAAAAAAAAAGAAGUUUUCACUAUCUUUCUUUGAUUCCUUUCAUAAAUAGAGAUGGAUUGAGUUUGCCCGAGUUUUCUUUUUUGUCCUGUUUGUUUUAUAAUUUCACUGGAGAUCAGUUUUGAUUAGCAUUUCGAUGCACUAGAGUUUUCUUUGAUUUCAGUUCUGGUUUUCGGACGAACAAUGGCACUCGUAGAGAAAUUUGAGUCUGCUGUUGUCUGAGCUUCUGAUUUCAACCCAUUAGCUUCCAGGUCUCGUUUAUAUUCCAAGCUCGUACAAAGUUAAACGGGUUGUUUAUUGAUUCAGGUUUGCUUUUAAUCCCAUGUAGCCUAUCUUUGGCAUUUUGAUUAUGAAAUGUGACUGUUUGGUCGUAAUGUGUUGGUUUUCCAUUUGCACGAGUAUGUCUGGUUUGACUCGGUUGUGUAUAUGUCAUUGAUUUCUGAUUGUGCUGUGUAUUUAGAACUAUUGCGAUCGUCUGUUAAAUUCUGUUACAUUCUGGUCGAACCGUCUUCAUGACUAGUUGAGUUCUUCAGAAGUUUCCUUUUGGUUAAGUUAGAAUUAAAAAAAAUUAAUAUGAGUAAUUAUUUGCUGCUGUAGUUUGAAUUGUGAGUGAGGGAUGAAACUAUCUUUGAGAUGCUGAGAAAUUGAAAGCCUCUUGUGGUUUGAAUCUGAAAUAUUGGAAACCUUGUUCUGGCUUCUUCCUUUUAGUGUGGAUUUUGUUGAUAUUUGCUAGCAAUUUAGCUAAGUAUCAGUUCUGAUUCGUGUUGGCUUCGCGCUAGAUUUAUUUGUUUCUUGAUGAUUCUAGUUUGAAACUAAUUAAUCCGCUGCUUGAACUAUUUGAGUUCCAUCCUGAUUUGUCUUAGCCUCAUUUUGGUUCAUCUUAGUUGAUACAUUGUUUAAUGAAGUAAGUUGUAAACCUUUGUGACACUAUAUCACUUAACAACUGAAACUGUUGGUUUUCAUUUAAAUAGCUGAAUCUAUUCGGAGCUGUCAUCUCUAAUUUUCCUUGGUUUUCGAACGAGAAGUUUGCUAGACGUGUUAUUGCUUGGUAAUAGGAUUACUGUUGAUCAUACAUCUUUGUUGCAUAUUGAGUUGAAUACCAGUUAGGAUGUUCUUGCUUUAUUUAUUGUUAAAAACAAUGAAAAGCAGUACUGUAGCUGCAUGCUUGUUUUAGUCGACUGUAUUUCAAAUCUUAUUUCAGUUUUUUCAUGGUUAUUAUGUUUGAUGUGGUGCAUCAGUCAAGCCAGUGCAUAUGUUGAAGAGUCGUGUCUAAUGUGAAUCUGAGUUAGCCGGAGUUUACUCCACGGAAAACCUGCCCUAUUUUGCACUGUUGCAUAUGUUGAAGAGUUGUGUCUAAUGUGAAUCUGAGUUAGCUGGGGUUUACUCCAUGGAAAACCUGCCCCGUUUUGCACUAUUCGAGUGUUAAUUUCGAGGGCUAAUUCUGUGAGGCUUGGAUUGUUUUGAGCCAUGGGGUGUAAUGUGUCGUCAUUAAUUCACUAUUUCAGCAUAGCUAGGCCUACCAGUUCUUCUUCACCUCUCUUUAGGCCAUUUUUUUAACUUCAAUUAGUAAUACAUCCAUGCUCAACUGGAUGUGUGUCGAUAUUUGAAGUGUUUGUGUGUCUUGUUCUUAUUGUACUAUUGAGGUGAGGUCGUCAACUGGAUUUUCUCUAAAGGUGUCUCAAAAAUGAUAUCUUAGCUUGGUGAACUAGUUUUCACAACAAAAAAAAAAAAAACAAAAAAAGAGAAUUCUAUGAGAUCCAGAAGCUUAUUUUAGUGUGUGUUCUUCCAUCUCAAUGAUUUCUGGAUUUUCGCUUGCUUCUGGGGUUAAGCUGGAGCUGUGUUACUGAUUUUGCAUUGCGAACUCCUCUCAUCUUGACAUUCUCCCCUACUUGGCUGGUGAUUCUUCUAUUUUUGGAUUGCAAACUAGGUACAAAUUAAGUCCAUUAUAUAUGUGUUGGUUUUUUUGUGCGACUGUUGGAUUGAAUUAACCUCGAAAUAUGAUUAAUGAGUUUGUUUAAAUAUGAUUCUUAAUUUCGUCAACUUAGUUUAGGAUGUGAUCAUUUUGUUGCCUUGUGUUAGUAGAUAAUUAAGACAAAAUUUUCAGUUGGGCAUUUGCCCAUUUUUGUGCUAGCACUAGGAGCUGUAAGUCUUAUUCUAAGUAUGCCUUUGUUUGAUUUGUUAUUUUUUAUCUCCUCUUUCUUUUAGGCGUUUUUUUCCUUUUCUGAAUGCCAUAUAUCUCAUUGUGUGCAUGUCUUAUAUUGAUGGAUAUAGGUCGUGGUUUGAGUUUAAAGGUUGAAUAAAUUCCUGAAUAUCCGUAGUUUAUUUUAAUUGAGCAAAGCCCUUUUGGAAUAAUUGGAGAUGCACCAUGCCAAACAUAAAAUAUUUUAAUUGUGUGGCCCUCAUUUUAAUUUUGUAUUGAUCCUUAGAAUUUGAGACGUGCCAUUUAGCAAAUUUCAUGGCCCUCGCAAAGUACAAAAUGCGUUAUAAUCUUUAGGCGCGUUUUAAUUAAAUUACUUUCCUAAAUUCGGGUGUGCAUUGAUGCGACCCAAAUCCAAAUCUCGAAGAAGUCGAAAUGUGUUGACGACCACGGGUUCCUUGAUGGCGACGGGGUCAGAGACGCGUUUUCACGACGUCGCAAUUCUUAUAAAACAAAUGACGGUCGAAAAAGGGUUCAAUAAAUUGUGACGAGCCUCACCGAACUAAAUAAAUGUGAGGUCCUCAACAAUUGUUUAUUCAAACAAUUAGAAUUUGGAAGGACCGUUUAGUGAAUUUCCACGGCCUUUCCCAAACAAUAUUACGUUAGAACCUUUAAGCGCGAUUUAAUUAAACUACGUCCUUAAACUCGGGUGCGCAUUGAUGCGACCCAAAUCCAAAUCUCGACGAAGUCGAAGUGUGUUGACGAACACGGGUGCCUUGAUGGCGACGUGGUCAGAAACCCAUUUUCACGACAUCGAAAGUCUUUUAAAAUAAAUAAUGGUUAAAGCGGUUUAUAAAUAAAAGCACAUAAACUAGCAUGUAAUAAACUAGCAUGUAAUAAAAUCAGAUAAAAUCAAAUACAACAGUUAAGCGAUCGUGCUAGAACCACGGAACCCGGGAAUGCCUAACACCUUCUCUCGGGUUAAUAGAAUUCCUUAUCCGGAUUUUGAUUCGCGGACUGUGAAUAGAGUCAAUUUUUUCCUCGGUUCGGGAUUCAAUUGGUGACUUGGGACACCAUUAAUCUCCCAAGUGGCGACU
rnacentral:lncRNA from 1 species